GAAAAACUACAAAAAAUAUAUGUUUUCUUUUAAUUUAAAUUUUAAUAAAUAAGCUAGUAUUUCUUAAUUAUAUUUUUAGACUAGCUAUUUGACUUUUCUCAUAUUUUAUUAAUUCAAAAUAAUUAAUUAAUAUUUUUAUUAUUAUGAUUUUUAUAUAUAUUAUAAUAAUAAAAUAUAAAAAAACCUAAAACUAACCCAUUUUCUCCCACUCAACCCCAC
rnacentral:lncRNA from 1 species